rnacentral:tRNA from 44 species
GGCUAUGUAGCUCAGUUGGUUAGAGCACAUCACUCAUAAUGAUGGGGUCACUAGUUCGAAUCUAGUCAUAGCCACCA